GUCAGAGCCAAUUAGACCCCAUUUUGUUAUGGCGAGUGUUGGUACUGAAUCUGGAUUCGAUGACAUUCUCCAAUUCAUGGUAAAAAAUUUUGGUCAAGAACACCGAUUAUUGUAGUUUGUGCUAAAGGAAUUCUUGGACGAGAUGCACGUACUCAAGAAUUUAGGGAGGUUGUGUGGACUGAAAAUACUGAUGAGGAAAUUACUGUAAAUACGGGCAAUGAAUUGACUGUUGGAUUCGUUCCGGGACUUAAGGUCGACGUGAUCCCUCUUUUACGACGCUCUGAGGCAGAGGUGAAAUUUGUUCAGCUACUGAAACUCUAGAACAUGGAAAUCCUAACAAAAAGUGGUGCUUAAUUUCGAUAUAUCAAAGGAAGGAAAUCUUUACCUUUUUAUCAGCCACCCAAUUGUUCAAUGCCAAUGGUUUACAAGUUCGUGAGAGAUAUUAAGAAUUUUACAUCCCCUGUGUCCGGUUCCACAUCACCGCAAACAAUUAU